rnacentral:rRNA from 1 species
UACGGAGGGGGCUAGCGUUGUUCGGAAUUACUGGGCGUAAAGCGCGCGUAGGCGGACCUGCAAGUCGGGGGUGAAAGCCCGAGGCUCAACCUCGGAACUGCCUUCGAUACUGCGGGUCUCGAGUCCGGGAGAGGUGAGUGGAAUUCCGAGUGUAGAGGUGAAAUUCGUAGAUAUUCGGAGGAACACCAGUGGCGAAGGCGGCUCACUGGUCCGGUACUGACGCUGAGGUGCGAAAGCGUGGGGAGCAAACAGG